AAGGGUGUAGCUCAAGCAGUAGAGUGCAUGCUUGGCAUGCACGAGAUCCUGGGUUCAAUCCCUGGCACCUCCU
rnacentral:tRNA from 1 species